rnacentral:rRNA from 1 species
UACGAAGGGGGCUAGCGUUGCUCGGAUUUACUGGGCGUAAAGGGCGCGUAGGCGGACAGUUAAGUCGGGGGUGAAAGCCCGGGGCUCAACCUCGGAAUUGCCUUCGAUACUGGCUGUCUUGAGUACGGGAGAGGUGUGUGGAACUCCGAGUGUAGAGGUGAAAUUCGUAGAUAUUCGGAAGAACACCAGUGGCGAAGGCGACACACUGGCCCGUUACUGACGCUGAGGCGCGAAAGCUAGGGGAGCAAACAGG